UCCUGGUUUCCCAGGCAGUUCCACCAGAGUGCCUUCAAAGAAGUAGCAACUGGCAGUAGGAGUUGCGCUCGUUAGAGGACUCAACCAGACAUCUCACGACACGAGCUGACGACAGCCAUGCAGCACCUGUGCAUCUGUCUGAACAAAGUCCAGAAGACCGUAUUUCUACGGCUGUCAAAUGCAUGUCAAGCCUAGGUAAGGUUCCUCGCGUAGUGUCGAAUUAAACCACAUGUUCCACCGCUUGUGCGGACCCCCGUCAAUUCCUUUAAGUUUUAGUCUUGCGACCGUAAUCCCCAGGCGGAUCACUUAACGCGUUAGCUACAACACUAACUUCGCAAAGCAAAGCUAACGUUCAGUGAUCAUCGUUUACAGCGUGGACUAC
rnacentral:misc_RNA from 1 species